UACGGAGGGUGCAAGCGUUAUCCGGAUUCACUGGGUUUAAAGGGUGCGUAGGCGGGCAGGUAAGUCCGUGGUGAAAUCUCUGAGCUUAACUCAGAAACUGCCAUGGAUACUAUUUGUCUUGAAUAUUGUGGAGGUAAGCGGAAUAUGUCAUGUAGCGGUGAAAUGCUUAGAUAUGACAUAGAACACCAAUUGCGAAGGCAGCUUACUUCACAGUUAUUGACGCUGAGGCACGAAAGCGUGGGGAUCAAACAGG
rnacentral:rRNA from 1 species